rnacentral:rRNA from 1 species
GACGAACGCUGGCGGCGUGCUUAACACAUGCAAGUCGAGCGGUAAGGCCCUCGGGUACGACGAGCGGCGAACGGGUGAGUAACACGUGGGUGACCUGCCCUUAGCUCUGGGAUAAGCCUGGGAAACUGGGUCUAAUACCGGAUAUGACCUCAUGACGCAUGUUGUGGGGUGGAAAGCCUUGUGCGGCUAGGGAUGGGCCCGCGGCCUAUCAGCUUGUUGGUGGGGUGAUGGCCUACCAAGGCGACGACGGGUAGCCGGCCUGAGAGGCGACCGGCCACACUGGGACUGAGACACGGCCCAGACUCCUACGGGAGGCAGCAGUGGGGAAUCUUGCGCAAUGGGCGAAAGCCUGACGCAGCGACGCCGCGUGAGGGAUGACGGCCUGGU